CCUACGGGGAGCAGCAGUGAGGACUAUUGGUCAAUGGACGAGAGUCUGAACCAGCCAAGUAGCGUGAAGGAUGACUGCCCUAUGGGUUGUAAACUUCUUUUAUAAAGGAAUAAAACGCGGCACGUGUGCCUUUUUGCAUGUACUUUGUGAAUAAGGAUCGGCUAACUCCGUGCCAGCAGCCGCGGUAAUACGGAGGAUCCGAGCGUUAUCCGGAUUUAUUGGGUUUAAAGGGAGCGUAGAUGGGUUGUUAAGUCAGUUGUGAAAGUUUGCGGCUCAACCGUAAAAUUGCAAUUGAUACGGGCAGUCUGGAGUACAGUUGAGGUAGGCGGAAUUCGUGGUGUAGCGGUGAAAUGCUUAGAUAUCACGAAGAACCCCGAUUGCGAAGGCAGCUUACUAAACUGUGACUGACAUUGAUGCGCGAAAGUGUGGGUAUCAAACAGGAGUAGAUACCCUAGUAGUC
rnacentral:rRNA from 1 species